rnacentral:rRNA from 1 species
UGGUAGGGGAGCAUUGUGUGCUGGCCGAAGCUGUACUGAAAGGAGCAGUGGACGGCACAGAAGAGAGACUGCCGGUAUGAGUAGCGAGAAAGGGGUGGGAAUCCCCUUCGCCGAAAGUCUAAGGUUUCCUGAGGAAGGUUCGUCCACUCAGGGUAAGCCGGGACCUAAGCCGAGGCCGAAAGGCGUAGGUGAUGGAGAAUCGGUAGAGAUUCCGAUGCCACUAUUAAUUGUUUGAGCGAAGUGGGGACGCGGCAAAGAGGAAAGAGCACGCGACCGGAGGAUGCGUGUAGAAGUUUCUGGUCAGGGAAGUGAGGCAAAUCCCGCUUUCCGUUGAAGGUCAGAAGCGAUAAGGAGCCAAAUGAGGCGAAGCUUUCCGAUAAGCCGCCGAGAAAAUCCGCUAGCGAGAUUGAUAGUGCCCGUACCGCAAACCGACACAGGUAGACAGGGAGAGGAUCCCGAGGCGAGCGAGAGAACCCUUGUCAAGGAACUCGGCAAAAUGACCCCGUAACUUAGGGAGAAGGGGUGCUGUGAGUAGCAGUUUCAGAAACCAGGCCCAAGCGACUGUUUAUCAAAAACACAGGUCUCUGCUAAGUCAGAAGACGAAGUAUAGGGGCUGACGCCUGCCCGGUGCUGGAAGGUCAAGGGGAGGACUUAGUACCCAUUACGGGUGCGAAGGUUUGAACCUAAGCCCCAGUAAACGGCGGCCGUAACUAUAACGGUCCUAAGGUAGCGAAAUUCCUUGUCGGGUAAGUUCCGACCUGCACGAAUGGCGAAACGACUUGGGCGCUGUCUCGACAGGGGGCUCGGCGAAAUUGGAGUACCUGUGAAGAUACAGGUUACCUACGACAGGACGGAAAGACCCCGUGGAGCUUUACUGCAGCCUGAUAUUGGGUUUGACUGGACAAUGUACAGGAUAGGUGGGAGGCGAUGAGGCUGGUGCGCCAGCAUCAGCACAGCCACAGGUGGGAUACCACCCUUUGUGCAGUUAAAUUCUAACCAGAGGCCGUAAGCCGGUCAUGGGACAUUGUCAGGCGGGCAGUUUGACUGGGGCGGUCGCCUCCCAAACCCUAACGGAGGCGUCCAAAGGUUCCCUCAGUGCGGAUGGAAAUCGCACGCAGAGUGUAAAGGCAGAAGGGAGCUUAACUGCAAGACAGACAAGUCGAGCAGGUAGGAAACUAGGGCUUAGUGAUCCGGCGGUAGAGAGUGGAAUUGCCGUCGCUCAACGGAUAAAAGUUACCCCGGGGAUAACAGGCUUAUCUCCCCCAAGAGUUCACAUCGACGGGGAGGUUUGGCACCUCGAUGUCGGCUCGUCGCAUCCUGGAGCUGAAGCAGGUUCCAAGGGUUGGGCUGUUCGCCCAUUAAAGCGGUACGCGAGCUGGGUUCAGAACGUCGUGAGACAGUUCGGUCCCUAUCCGUCGUAGGCGCAGGAUACCUGAGGGGAGCUAUCCCCAGUACGAGAGGACCGGGAUGGACACACCGCUGGUGUAUCAGUUGUUCCGCCAGGAGCAUAGCUGGGUAGCCAUGUGUGGCAUGGGUAAACGCUGAAAGCAUCUAAGCGUGAAACCACCCUCAAGACUAGGUAUCCCACUUGUAAAGAGUUAAGGCCCCUGAUAGAAGAUCAGGUAGAUAGGCCGGAGGUGUAAGUGUGGCAACACAUUCAGCUGACCGGUACUAAUAGGUCGAGGGCUUAAAAUC